AACGAACGCUGGCGGCAGGCCUAACACAUGCAAGUCGAGCGAAGCCUUCGGGCUUAGCGGCGGACGGGUGAGUAACGCGUGGGAACGUGCCCUUUGGUACGGAAUAGCCCCGGGAAACUGGGAGUAAUACCGUAUGUGGUCGAGAGACGAAAGAUUUAUCGCCAAAGGAUCGGCCCGCGUUGGAUUAGGUAGUUGGUGGGGUAAUGGCCUACCAAGCCGACCAUCCAUAGCUGGUUUGAGAGGAUGAUCAGCCACACUGGGACUGAGACACGGCCCAGACUCCUACGGGAGGCAGCAGUGGGGAAUCUUAGACAAUGGGGGAAACCCUGAUCUAGCCAUGCCGCGUGAUCGAUGAAGGCCUAGGGUUGUAAAGAUCUUUCAGUGGGGAAGAUAAUGACUGUACCCACAGAAGAAGCCCCGGCUAACUCCGUGCCAGCCGCCGCAGUAAAAC
rnacentral:rRNA from 1 species